UCAAAGCCUUGAAAUCUGUGUAGUACAUCUUCAUUGAAGAUACUCAAAUAUUUGACAUUUCUUUUGGUCGAAUCGGGAGUAGUUGACAAAUGGAGGCUAAAAUACAGAGUUCAUGAAAAGUGAUAUAUCGCCCGGCAAUCAUUAACUGUUUUCCCUAAGGAUUUAAAUAAGGGCCGAUUCAUUCGGCAUUCGGCAUUACCAAUUUACACCAAGCAGAUAGCCACUCUUUCCGCAAUGAUGCUGACCGAAUACCAAAUAAAACUAAAUUGAAGUAAAAAUUUAGAGACCUUUUGGGGCGCCACCCGAGACUCGCACGCCACGGACGGGAUGAUGCAACUGAAUAGUGACCAGGGCAAUGGACGGUGGAUGGGAAUCUGAAUCGGAAUCGGAAUAGCAUCUUGUUGCAAUCGGGUAAUGGCCGUGAUUGUGCUCCACAAAUGGCAACAGACUGAUCGCGGCGACACCACAAGGUGCUUGCCCCCAACGGUGGCAAGUCGGCUUUGGCGAUGGCUU
rnacentral:sRNA from 1 species